rnacentral:rRNA from 1 species
UACGGUAGGGGGCAAGCGUUGUCCGGAAUCAUUGGGCGUAAAGCGCGUGUAGGCGGCCCGGUAAGUCCGCUGUAAAAGUCCAGGGCUCAACCCUGGAAAGCCGGUGGAUACUGUCGGGCUCGAGUCCGGAAGAGGCGAGUGGAAUUCCUGGCGUAGCGGUGAAAUGCGCAGAUAUCAGGAGGAACACCGAUGGCGAAGGCAGCUCGCUGGGACGGUACUGACGCUGAGACGCGAAAGCGUGGGGAGCAAACAGG